CAUCUGAACCAUCAGUCACUCUCUGGCCCAGAGAGGUGGUGUUAUUUGCCAAGGACACACAGCAGGUGGCCAAGAUGGAGCCAAGCCAUUUUCCCCACUGCAGGGCUCUUUCCUGGCUGUCAGCUCCGAGUCCAGCCUCUCCUCGCAUUGCUGCAGACGCUUUCUGAGGAACUCGUUCUCCAUCUGAGCACAGUCGAAGCGCAUCUGCCACUCGUCUGCUGUUUAACGGAGUCAGGGAGACCAGGAUAAGAGGCCAAAUGAGUACCCCUGAUCUCCAUUCCCCUGGACAUCUCAAGGGCACAAAUUCUCUGGACACACGGAGGGAAUAAUGCUGACAUUUUAUAGAAGCUGACCCACUGGAUAUCCUUCUCACCCAACUCCAUUAGGCUGGGGAGAGUAAGAGGCACGGUGACAAGGUGGCAAAGAUGUCACCAUGCCAUCCAAUCACGAGGUCUCCAGGAAACUGUAUAAGAAGGACACCUCCAGAAACUCCUGGCACUACUGAACAAAUGUAUAAUAUCCCUGGGUAAAACCAAGAGUCCUCUCGCCUUCUCGCCAUUUGGUAACUGUUGUGCGCCUGACACAGCUUUACCCUCUUUGAAUGGGGAGAGCAGUAGUUUCUGUUCCACAGGUUGCUAUAAGGAUGAACUGUGAUCUCAUCAUUCCUCAUAAUAAUGGCUUAUCAAGAUGAAGUAAUGAUUACCAUUGCCAUUUUACUGAUGAUGAAACAAAGGCUAAGAGACUUGAAGAAUUUGCCCACAAUCUUGUAGCAAUGAAGGU
rnacentral:lncRNA from 1 species